CCUACGGGUGGCAGCAGUGAGGAAUAUUGGUCAAUGGACGGAAGUCUGAACCAGCCAUGCCGCGUGCAGGAUGACGGCUCUAUGAGUUGUAAACUGCUUUUGUAUUAGGGUAAACACCCCUACGUGUAGGGGCUUGAAAGUAUAAUACGAAUAAGGAUCGGCUAACUCCGUGCCAGCAGCCGCGGUAAUACGGAGGAUCCAAGCGUUAUCCGGAUUUAUUGGGUUUAAAGGGAGCGUAGGCCGCAUGUCAAGCGUGCUGUGAAAUGUCCGGGCUCAACCCGGGCCUUGCAGCGCGAACUGGCGUGCUUGAGUCCGCGGAAAGCAGGCGGAAUUCGUCGUGUAGCGGUGAAAUGCUUAGAUAUGACGAAGAACCCCGAUUGCGAAGGCAGCUUGCUGCAGCGGAACUGACGCUGAUGCUCGAAAGCGCGGGUAUCGAACAGGAUUAGAUACCCCGGUAGUC
rnacentral:rRNA from 1 species